rnacentral:lncRNA from 1 species
UUAUGAGCCUUUUAAAGGAAAACAACAAUGGAAGUUUCUCUAAUUCGCUUUUUAUGGUGUUUCUAGCAGCACUACUAAUUAAUUUGCACAGAAGGUCUUGUUCACUUCAAUUCCGUGUGGUGGUAGAUUCAUGCAGGCAAAGAAGGAAGAGAAUGGGAAGCUCCUGUCUGUUGGAAAUAUCAGGAUCAGCCAAUACAAGAGUGCUCAGCAGGAUGAAACCAGGCAGGAGUUGUGCUGAUUCUGCUGUUGACAUUGCCUACAGGAUCCAAGCACUGGGACUGAUGAAGAAGAGGAUGAUGAGCACCAUUCUUUCCUCCACCAUAAAGUUGCAUGAAGUUAGAUGUCAUUGCUUAUCAAUGUAGACUUCUGAAAGCAGGAAGAAUAAUGAUGGUCAGUAUGAAACAGUGUAUUAUUCUGGUUCUUCAUUUCUCCUCUAUGCUGG